rnacentral:rRNA from 1 species
GUGAAUAAUAUGGAUAGUAUUGUUUUGCCGUUAAAUAUUUUUAAUGGCGGCAAGUAUACAAAGAAGCUAUUAUGGAUUCACAGCUAUAUAUCAAAGAGAGAAUAAAACUUUUAAUUUUGAAAGCACACCUUUUUAUGAUUUUUUUCUUUUGUUUUUAAUCAUUAUUUUUUAAUGAUCAUAAUAAUAGGAUUAAAAAAGUAAAUGGUCGGUUAGUAGAUGAACUCUAAUUAGAAAUUAAUUAAAAAAAACGAAGUGAAUUGAAAUAUCUUAUUAACUUCAGGAAAACAAAUCAAACGAGAUUCUGCAAGUAGUGAGAAUGAAAGAGGAAUAGCCUAAUUAAGUAAAAUGGAGUACAUAUCUGUUUGAAUAUAAAGGGGAACCUUCCUCUAAGGCUAAAUAUGAUAUAUAAGCGAUAGUUGGAAGUACCGUGAGGGAAAGGAUUGAAAUAGUAGUUUUAUAAGCAGCUCGAGCGAAAUUUAAAUAAAGAAUGAGAGCGUACCUUUUGCAUAAUGGGUCAGCAAGUUAAUAUUAGACGCGAGCAGUAAAGCGAAGAUAAACCAAUUAUGAAAUAAUGAUGUAGUAUCUAAGAUUAGACCCGAAGCCUAGUGAUCUUACCAUGAUCAGGGUUAUAAAAGCCCGAACGGUUUAUCGUUGUAAAGAUAUCCGAUGAAUUGUGGUAUGUUGGUGAAAGAUAAUACUGACUAGGAUAGCUGGUUUUCCGCGAAACCUAUAUAAGUAGGUAAUUUAAAUAACAUCAUAGCAGGUACAGAAUUGUGGUCUCAUAUAGCUAACAUGUUUAUGAAAUAGAUAUGUUAUCUGUAGACAUUGGGGGAUCGUGAAGAUUCUAUCAGUGAGUAUUUGUUCUCGGAAGGGCUAAGAUUAAUAUUGAAUAAUCAGACAUAGUACGCAAAGGUUGUAUGUCUAAAGGGAAACAGCCCAGAACAAGAGUUAAUAAGGUUCCAAAAUUAUUGUUAAGUGAAAUAAAAGUAGUAUUUGUCCUAGACAACCAGGAAAUAGGCUUAGAAGCGGCCAUUUUUUGAAGACCUCGUAGCAGAGCACUGGUUUGUAGACUGUUUAUAUGAUUUACAAGGAUAAAGCACUGAAAAUUUAACGGAUCUAAACAAUAUACCGAAACCUUGUCCAUAUAUAUUUAUAUAUCAUAGUUAUAUAUUGUAUUUAUGGGGUAGCGGAACAUUGGGCUAAUCUAAGAUUUUUUCUUUAUAAGAAUUAAUAUCAGGUAACCCAAGUGAGAAUGCUGACAUGAGUAACGAUAAAGGGAAUAACUCCCUCGCCUAAAGCUUAUGGUAUUUACUUAAAGUAACGGCCUCUAAGUUUAUGUAGUAGAGUAGUAAAAUAAAGUAACGAAGAUAAAGUAAAUGAAACGACGUUUUUUUGUUGAUUCACUAACUUUAUAACGCUGUUUUAGUGUAUUACCUAGUCCUUUAGGAUUAAACGAUGAGCAAAUCUAGAGAGUUUACUGGCAAAUAACAUUUAUGCACUUUAAUAUAUAAUUGUGUAUAAAGAAGGUGAUAAAUGUUCUGGAAAACUGUAAACUCGACAUGAAACUGCAGAAAUGUAUAGUGUGAGUAGUAUAGAGAAAACACGAAAGGAAUUAAACGUUCCAUCAUGUCUAUAUCAACCGUACCUAAAUACUAUCGCAAGUAAGCAAGUAGAGAAUACGAAGGCGUUCGAGUGAACAAUCAUUAAGGAACUCGGCAAAUUAACUCUGUCGUAACUUAGGGAUAAGGUGGGCCAUUCCACUUGAUUAAUAUCAAGGUUGGAAGAGGAGGCACAGAAUGGUGUUGUACGACUGUUUAAUUAAAACAAAGCAUGCUGCAAAGAAAAAAUAAUUCGAAGUAUAGUGUGUGAACUCUGCCCUAUGACGGCUGGGUAUACUAUUUGCUUAAUUGACUAACAUAGGUUAGGCUUUGAAGGAAACCCCGUUCAAUGGCGGCUUUACAGAUGAGAGUCCUAAGGUAGCGUAAUACCUUGGCCGUUAAAUGCGGUCUUGCAUGAAUGACGUAACGAUACAACAGCUGUCUCAAUGAUUGGCUCGGUGAAAUUGGAGUAACAGUGCAGAUACUGUUUACCUGUAGAUAGACGAGAAACAGGCUAAUUGCGCCAGAGAGUUCAUAUUGAGUGCGCAGUUUGGCACCUCGAUGUCGGCUUAGCUCAUCCACAUGGAUGCAACAACCAUGAAGGGUUCGACUGUUCGUCGAUUAAAGAGUUACACGAGCUGGGUUAAAUACGUCGUGAGACAGUAUGGUUUCUAUCUUCUAGAGGAAAUUAGAAUAAAAUAAGGAUAGCCCCUUGUACGUAAGUAAAUGGGUAUAUUAACCUCUGGUUUACCUGCUGUUUAUGUUCCUAUAUUAAUUUAAAUUAUAAGUUUAUAUAAAAAGGACAUUCUUUUUAAUAUGGCUUAUUUUGGGGUUUUACUUUUCACUAUAGUAAUUUUUAACAUAGGCACGGCAGGAAGGCUAUGUUAGUUAAUGAUAAGAGCUGAAUACAUAUAGGCACGAAACUUACCUUUAGAUAUUCUUAAAUAAACGUAGUUUAAUACUACGAUUUUAGGUCCUUAUAGUUUAAAUAUGAAAAUAUAUAACAAGUAUAAUUUAAUAAAAUUAAUCUGGGUUUAAUAUUUUUAUCUUUACCAUAAAGAUUUUAAUUAAUAGGCUUUAGCUGACAGAAUUGUGACAUUUUUAGGCACAAAGUACUAA